AUGCUCGCUUCAGCGGCACAUGCACUAACACUGGAACGAUACAGAGAAGAUGAGCAGGUCCCCCUGCAAGGAUGAUACACAGAUAUGUGAAGUGUCCCAUAUUUUU